UUGUGUCAGAGAGGAGUGAAGUAAAUAGUCUUUCUUCUUUCACUUCAGCUAUAGCUCCUUUGGGAAGCGCUUCGCUGAGCCAGGGUUGAAGAAUUUUAUUUCCUGUAACUGCAGGUGCUGUGCUGCUGAGCUAAAUCCCCGGCCCCUGGAGAGUUGAAGAGAAUGCUGGUAUGAGGGAAGACUCACAUGUUUGGUUUUUCCAAGACCUCCAGCAUACCACUGCCUCUGGCUUCCACACAGUAAGCAUGAUGUCAUGAUAAAUGGAUCGGUGUGCUGUCUGUGGGAUAUCAGGCAGUUCACAUAUUAUACCGCGAUGGAGAGCAGGAGAAUUAGCAUAACCCCAAAGCUGAUUAUGGGCCACAACCUUUACAAACUAUGACCUUCAUAAACUUUUCAUCACUUAACUUGUGAGUAUUGGGUAUUUUGUCUCAGCAACAAGAAAAGUAACUAAGACACAGCAGUUCAACUCAAGUGCUGAAUCAAGAGCUGGGAGCACUGGGGGAUGAUGUACUUCACCUUUCCAGAAGAGGCAGUGACUGUCCUGAUGUCUCACAGCUGCAGACUGAAUUUGUAUUUCUGAACUAUGGACACAAUGCUCUUCCCAUCUAACCAUGAGGUCACCCUGGCUUUUUGGGGUCAUUUAGCAUUGAGUCCACAGAUACAAUAACUUCAUUCACUUGACAACCUGGUAAGAUAUGCAAUUGCUUCUUUAAGAAAGAGGGAGCCAGGUGUGGUUUCACAUGCCUGUAAUCCUAGCACUUGGGAGGUUGAGG